rnacentral:lncRNA from 1 species
AUGAGGGUAUUGCUGCAUUUGAUGCCAAACAGCUCCUUCUCUUCAUGCCCACAGGCAGCCUUGUCCUUGUCCUCGCUGCACACCACCCACAGCUCACUGAGAGGCACCCGGUGCUUCAGCCAGAAGGUGGAGCCACACCUGCAGGGAACAAGAGCAGGCACUGACUUCCAGGUUGCCCUCGUGGCGGCAAAUGCAAAGACCUUGGCUAAAAUCCCUUCUCCUGCCCAGCUGUGGCCACCUCCACUGCCAUUCCAGUUUACAAGAAAGCACGUGCCGCUUUGCUUUUGUGGCGCUGCCAGAGUUAAAAUGAACCAGCCCGUGUCUGCUGCAGGCCAGCUGCUGUGCAGGCAGCCCCAAGGAGGCACUUUCUGCGGCAGCGGGAGCAGCUCCGGGGAGGAGUGGUGCCCUGGGGCUGGUGGCAGAGGCCGUGGUGGGGUGGAAGGACGUCUCUGGUCACUAUUCUUACUUGAAGCUGGCAAUGGCGAUGGCAUCAGGGAAGAGCAGCAGGUGCCUGUCCUUCGUGUGGUGGUGCCAUGUCACCUGCACACGGUCGCUGAGGAGGAGCUGGGGGCUCCUGCUCGACACAAAGGCGCUCGGUGGCUGCUGGGGCUGGGAGGCUUCCCUGCCCAAGAGCCCAAGGUGGGCACGAGGAGCCCCACGGCGAAGGCCCCUGGGCCGUCCCUGCACGCCGGGAGCAGGGCUGGCAGCACCCCUCCCACCGCAGCAGUUUGCCCGUGGUGCCCAUGGCUCCGGCACGGACUUGCGCUGGUGGACGGACGCUGGUGGCUGUGGCUGAGGUCACUGUGGGUGCCACGGGGCAUCUCUGGGGGGGCACAGGCCGGGGUGUCCGGGCAGAAAGGGGAGUCUCCCCAGCUGCCUGCUGCCUCUGACCCUGCAGGAUUUCCACAUCUGUUGUGUGUGGCCGCAGCUGGUAGGGUUGGGGCACCACUGCUGACUCAUGCUAAUCACGAUGUGCUCUCUAGGUCUGGGCCCCACACGCCCAGCGCCAGUGCCUGCCAUUGA